rnacentral:siRNA from 1 species
CAAAACGGUGUUAUUGCUGAG